UGUGCUGCUGUGAGAUGAGCCUCAAAUGGACCCAGCCAUUAACCAAACACCAUUAGUUGGAUGGUAGAAGUACUUCCUGUUAGAAAAAGCAUCAGGGUGCCAUCACUUCCAAGAUAAAAUGAUCAAUUAUACAAUUAACUGAUAUACGUUUCCUUGAACCUGGCCUGGAAAUAGCAUUCUCCUGGAACAUUCACCUUUACCUCUACAAGACUAGAUUUCUCAUGCCCAGCCAUCUGAUCAUCACUGAUCGUCUACGACCAUACACUAUGCGAUGAUCGGCUCAACCAUUUAGAAUCUGCAGAUCGGGACAAUAUUUACAUAAUAUAUGCCAGGGGUUCCUACAGUACCUAGUCCUCUCCACAGAAAAACAAAAGUAUGGUGAUGUGAUUCAGCUACGGAGCUGGGGCUCUGCUGGAAAACCACUCUGUGAAUAGCACAAAGCAGAGAACAUGGCUAAUAUCUGCUUCAUUAAUAGACCCCAAAUGUAAAUUGAAGUACAAAUGAUCCAUUAUUAUUAUUACUAUCAGUUAUUUAUAUAGAGCACAUAUUUAUUCCGUAGCACUUUACAGAGAAUAUUUGGCCAUUCACAUCAGUCCCUGCCCCAGUGGAGCUUACAAUCUAAAUUCCCUAGCUCAAUAGCACAUUUACACGCACACACAUUCACACUAGGGUUCAUUUUGUCAGAAGCCAAUUAACCGACCAGUAUAUUUUUGUACUGUGGGAGGAAACCGGAGUACCCGGUGGAAACCCACGCAAGUACGGGGAGAAUAUACAAACACCACACAGUUAGGGCCAUUGUAGGAAUCAAAACCAUGACCUCAGUGCAGUGAGGCAGUAAUGCUAACCAUUACACCAUCUGUGCUGCCCUGUGAUCCAUGCAUCACAACAUAUGAAUGCAGCAGCUACACUGAUGAAAUUGUCAGAGAUUCCACAAAUCCAAUCCUGUAGUCACUUCACAUAUUGG